AAAUUGAAGAGUUUGAUCAUGGCUCAGAUUGAACGCUGGCGGCAGGCCUAACACAUGCAAGUCGAACGGUAACAGGAAGCAGCUUGCUGCUUCGCUGACGAGUGGCGGACGGGUGAGGAAUGUCUGGGAAACUGCCUGAUGGAGGGGGAUAACUACUGGAAACGGUGGCUAAUACCGCAUAACGUCGCAAGACCAAAGAGGGGGACCU
rnacentral:rRNA from 1 species